rnacentral:rRNA from 1 species
CUACGGGGGGCUGCAGUGGGGAAUAUUGGACAAUGGGCGAAAGCCUGAUCCAGCCAUGCCGCGUGUGUGAAGAAGGCCUUCGGGUUGGAAAGCACUUUCAGUGGGGAAGAAAGCCUUGGGGCUAAUACCCUCGAGGAAGGACAUCACCCACAGAAGAAGCACCGGCUACUCCGUGCCAGCAGCCGCGGUAAUACGGAGGGUGCGAGCGUUAAUCGGAAUUACUGGGCGUAAAGCGCGCGUAGGCGGUCUGAUAAGCCGGUUGUGAAAGCCCCGGGCUCAACCUGGGAACGGCAUCCGGAACUGUCAGGCUAGAGUGCAGGAGAGGAAGGUAGAAUUCCCGGUGUAGCGGUGAAAUGCGUAGAGAUCGGGAGGAAUACCAGUGGCGAAGGCGGCCUUCUGGACUGACACUGACGCUGAGGUGCGAAAGCGUGGGUAGCAAACAGGAUUAGAUACCCUAGUAGUC